rfam:Schistosoma mattheei strain Denwood, Zambia genome assembly, scaffold: SMTD_contig0000594
ACUCAGAUGACGAGUCCCAAAUAGAACGAAACGGAAAUCCUGGAU